AUUCAUUCUUCAUACUUUUCAAAAAGAUCGAGUACGUUGUGAAAAAUGGAUUGCACAGGUGCAAAGGACGAGAGCUUCGUGGGUUCCAAAUGACAGUGCAUCCUGUUCGCUAUGUCAAAUGUGGGUGUGCCCAACGCCCGCAUUUUGGAGCAGUAGCCACAUCAGCAGCCCCUGGUAGCGAUGGAAGUUGUUCAGCCAUUUCACUUCGAGACUGUAAUCAGGAAAGUGACGAGAGAGAGAGAAGAAUAAACAAGAAAUGGGGAUGAAGAUGACAGGCCACAAAAUCGUCGGCACUGCACUGGAUUUAAGCCGCCGUUGAUACCCAGACACGCCGGAGAGCUGGGGCCGAUCAAAGGCUUCGAACAACUGCUAAUCUUUCACAGCUCAACUCUUCUGGCCACAUCCUCACACUAUUUCCUCAACUUGAUCUUUUUGAGAAAGCAAUGAAUGAUUUUUAACCCCUUUUUUUGUGUGUAUUCCGUCGUGAUUUGAAAUUGCAUCAAAAAGCGCCACGGUUUGACAUUUUUAACUCUUUUCCGCUGACGAUACAUGUUGCUCGCAAGCGGCUAGCUCAGCUCCACAGAGAACAGCAUCAUGACAAUUUUACAACAGCCAUUCCACGUCAUCAUUGCAAGAAUUGCUUGCGCACACUAAACAUGGCAGCAACUCUGUAUCAAAUAUGUUCUAAGCAACACCAUUUUUUUAAACUUAUAGGAAUAAUUCAUAAAUAUAUAUAACUGUAUUUCAGUAGUAGAGAUCAGUAGUUGUAAAAUUAAAUAUUUGUCAUCUCAAUUGUCGUUUAAGUGAAAACUAGAGUGUCUUUUCCAUGACAAAUGUUGAGUUUGAUUCAAAGUGAGCACUGAUAAAAUGUGAAAUAAUUCUUUUUAUCGUGUACUGUUGCAGCCUAACAUUGUACCGUAACGCAUUUUUUAAAAAAAUACAGACUAUCAAAUUUAGCUAUUCAAACACUUACUAUGCAGUGUAACCAAACCACAAGAAGCAAGCUCUUCUCCAUCCAUAGCCUUAUUUAAAGGUUAAGUGUCAUGCCUAUAAAUAUUCUAAAAUAGAUAUUGUAAUGAAAAAUACAUAUAACAUUAUUCACUUAUAUUAUAAAUAUGAGAGGAGAGCGCGUCACCCAUGCGCAAAGUUGCGGAAGUCUCAUUCGACAUCCAAGUGGUCGCCAUAUUGGCUGCAUCUCCUAUCCGUGACGUCACACCGGGACAUUCGCCAUUGAAAACAUGCUUUGCCACCUACUAUGGGACACAAUCUAGUGAAGUGACCGCGGUAAUAUUACCCUAUCGUUUCGAGCCAUAUUUAGAGAUAUGCGGAUCACUUCUAACUAACAACAGACUCCCAGACAGUAUGUAUGAGCCAGCCCGGUCGAAGCAGUGUUCGCCGAAGGCGGGCCUUGUCCCCGGUACUCGGUGCUGACGGGUACAUCGACACAUUUAGCACCCUUGACUUAUGUACGAGCAUCUUUUGUUACAUUCUGAGAGGAUUAGGCCCCCCUCUCCCAAACUAUUUUUUUUAGUAGCUGUAUACACACCUACCUGUCAUUUGGAACCCACGAAGCUCUCAUCCAUUGUACCCGUGCAAUCCAUUUUUCACGAUGAACCGGGUCUUUUUGAAAAGUAUGAAGAAUGAAUCCAUCCUACCGAGUGUUCGAACGAUAUCCAGCAAUACAACGAGCCGGCAUUUUGGCUAACACGAAGGAACAAAGAGCUACUUUCCAGCAGGUAAAACGAGUAGCUAGUAGCUACUGCCCUUAACGUCACUUCCUGCUUCUUCACCAAAACAAAUCCCUCGAGAGGAUUUUCAUGGCGGGAGUGACAAAAAGCCAUAUACGUCAAAAUCAUGUCGUGUGAUGAAAAAACGGAUGGGUCCAUUCCAGCUGCCUUUUUUUCAUUAAUAACAUACUAAAAAUCAUGCAUUUUAUGACAGUGAACCCUUAAGGGAAUUGAUUAAUGUCGUUAGUUGCAAGAAUGUUUUUGUGGCAAAUGAGUUGUCCGAUUGCGCACAUUUCAAAACCAUUCCCAAAAUAUGUUAGACUCACUGAAGACUAACCGCAGGGUCAGGGUUCAAGACCUGCUGCGGACAAAUGGCACCUGGUUGUUGGAGAGGUGCUCGUCAGCCUCCUGCCCACUUAAGCAAGGCACUGACCUGACAGCUCAAGAGGUGCACCAUUAUUUGCGGGACGCUUUCACUCAGUCUUCUUGCAGGUGGGGGAUCUGGUUCUCCGCGUUGGGUGCAAGAGAAUUAUUGUAAAUACAGCAGAGUGUGAGUUGAUUUUCAU